GACGAACGCUGGCGGCGUGCUUAACACAUGCAAGUCGAACGGAAAGGCCCUGCUUUUGUGGGGUGCUCGAGUGGCGAACGGGUGAGUAACACGUGAGUAACCUGCCCUUGACUUUGGGAUAACUUCAGGAAACUGGGGCUAAUACCGGAUAGGAGCUCCUGCUGCAUGGUGGGGGUUGGAAAGUUUCGGCGGUUGGGGAUGGACUCGCGGCUUAUCAGCUUGUUGGUGGGGUAGUGGCUUACCAAGGCUUUGACGGGUAGCCGGCCUGAGAGGGUGACCGGCCACAUUGGGACUGAGAUACGGCCCAGACUCCUACGGGAGGCAGAGGUGGGGAAUAUUGCACAAUGGGCGGAAGCCUGAUGCAGCAACGCCGCGUGCGGGAUGACGGCCUUCGGGUUGUAAACCGCUUCCGCCUGUGACGAAGCGUGAGUGACGGUAAUGGGUAAAGAAGCACCGGCUAACUACGUG
rnacentral:rRNA from 1 species